GCGUAAUGCGAAGACGUGGGAUCGUUCCCCACCUGCGGCAAGUUGUUUUUUCAUCCAUUUUCAUUGCCAUUAAUUUACCAUUUCUUUAAUUCAAUUAUAAGUACAAGUAAUUUCCCCUGUGUAGUCCUUGGUGUCUUUGUUUGUUGGCUUCUUAUGAUAUGAUUAAUAAAGAAAGUCAGACCUCUUAGUUAACCCCCUUUCUUCUCGUUCAGUAUUGUACCAGUAUGAUACACCACCACCACCAAAAAAGUCACUGUUCUUGCAUAUUUCUAAGUUACCUAGAGCAGGUAAAGCUCGGUACAAAUAUACCAAGGUGCCUCCAUCAUGAAUAUAGGAAACAAGCAAAUGUGUACGUACGGUGCAGUGUCCCUUGUUCUUUGUAUGCUUCAAGAUCCCUGCGAAAAACUUCCCCAAAGGUCUCUUGCCGUUCUCGCAGCACUUCCUGCUCUUGUUCUUCCAGCUGUCGAAGCAGCGUUUGGUGGUCUUCUUCCAGUUUGUCUACGUAAAAGACCAAAGAGCUAUAUCUUUCAUGCUACUUUUUUAGCAAGUGCAAUGUUUUGUAAUAAGGGUGAAGAAGUGGUAUUGUGGGUGUUCAUGUUUUCUUCAAUAUAUUUGAAAUAAAUCUUUGUCAGUGUCACACAUUUUGCAUAAUUUCUUUCUCUAAAUAAAAGUUUCACAGACUGCCAACAGUGGAUCUCUAAUGUUUUCAAUGUGCCCUACAACACUGUUUCACCCAUUGGCUGCCAAAGCUGGCAAACCCCAGACUCGAAGAACCUCGACCACAUUGUCAAAGCGAGCGAUUCACAGGAUUGGUUUAAAACGACACUUUGUGCAUGCAUUCCAACAUCUAUGUGCCUGUAGCAGCACAGUGACCGCAUUCCAUCGAAUCCCGGCAAACAAAUUUUGUCACAACAGUGCAAAAUGUGCUGGGACAAAAGAGGAAAACAAAUUUAGCAGGGUGCUUUGUUACGAAGUCCGAAGAAUCCAAGAAUGGGGUUGCCUUGCAUCUAGUGGCUUUCACACAUCAGCGAUUUGAAGGAUCUUGUGGAUGUUCACGGGAUUCAAAGCUUAGUGCUGAAAGUAAGCUCUGGAUGGCUGCACUGUAGUUGCAGAAGAUGGACUGUUGGUGUUGAGCUAGUUUCCAGAUAGAUGAACUGAAGUUCCACAUGCCAGCCUGCAAGCAUGGUGGCUGUUGUGGAUUUCAAGUGAUGUCGGGACACACUUGAGGGGAAUGCAGGUACAACAACGGUGACAGCUGUCUUACUUCAGGUAUAGUACGAUGGCAAGGAAGCUUGGUGAGCAGCAAGAAUAUCUCUGUAACUCGUUUUUAUGCGCUUCCUAAAGCCUCCUCUGCUGCCAAUGCACUCCACUUUGUUUCAAAGCAAAUGAAGAACGGCUCUUGCGUCUGAUGUUGAAGGUGUUUUGCACGAUUCUUUGUUCACUACAAAGUCCUCUUCACCUUCGGCACAUGACACAACAUUGACAAUUUCUGUGUCUGUGGCAGGAGCAACACAGCUGCGUCCACAUCCGCAAUCAGGUAUGACAAUAUCAUCCUUGGGCACUUUGUCAACAACCUGGUAUACACACUUGUACAAUGUGCUACAGCUGCAGCUUUCAUGUGCUCGCUGUGGGACAUGUAAGCAAUGCAACGUAGAAAGCGCAAAGCCAUUAAUUACCUUUGCCAAAUUUUGAUGAUGUCAAAACGCUACCACCACUUAGAAUACUGACCUUCGCAGCGCUCUUUGCAUUUCCAGGUUGACAGGAAGAAAAACAAAAGCAAAGAACUACUAUCUAUGCAGCACCAAGUGGUUCCGGGUGGAUUUCCUGCUUCGCAUUUCAUAAGUGGAGUCCGGUGCUGCUACACUUCGAAUACUACUCCGGCCUAAAAUUACUGUGGCCAUCAUAUCACUAGGCUAAAAUGCACAGCAGCCAGAGCCAAUAAAAACUUUGAAUAAAGCAAUAUCUCGAGUGAAGUGCCUUCCCUAUAAUGAGGGUUUACUGCAUUUCCUUUUUUAAUGAAAAUAAGAAGACUUUUAUUGUAAAUUAUAACAAGCCAAACUUUCAUCAUGCUGUGUGUUGUUACUGUAUUCCAUCAUUUUCAUUAUGAUAAUAAUUGUGGCACCUUGCUGAGCUGUGCAACUGAGCAUACAUUGAUUUACGUAUGGUUACAAGGACUAUUGCAUAUUUGAAAGGAUAUUAAAUGGCAUUUCUUCUGCA
rnacentral:lncRNA from 1 species